rnacentral:rRNA from 1 species
AGAGUUUGAUCCUGGCUCAGGAUGAACGCUAGCGGCAGGCCUAAUACAUGCAAGUCGAACGGUGGUAGCAAUACCAUAGUGGCGCACGGGUGCGUAACACGUAACUAACCUACCCAUCAUUGGGGGAUAGCCCGCCGAAAGGGGAUUAAUACCGCAUAACACUAUAAAACGGCAUCGUUUAGUAGUUAAAGAUUUAUUGAUGAUGGAUGGGGUUGCGGGUCAUUAGCUAGUUGGUUGGGUAACGGCUGACCAAGGCGACGAUGACUAGGGGAGCUGAGAGGCUGGUCCCCCACACGGGCACUGAGAUACGGGCCCGACUCCUACGGGAGGCAGCAGUAGGGAAUAUUGGGCAAUGGGCGAGAGCCUGACCCAGCCAUGCCGCGUGCAGGAAGAAGGCUUUCUGAGUCGUAAACUGCUUUUGACAGGGAAGAAUAAGCCUACGUGUAGUGCGAUGACGGUACCUGCAGAAUAAGCACCGGCUACUCCGUGCCAGCAGCCGCGGUAAUACGGAGGGUGCGAGCGUUGUCCGGAUUUAUUGGGUUUAAAGGGUGCGUAGGCGGCCCGUUAAGUCCGGGGUGAAAGCCCGCUGCUCAACAGCGGAACUGCCCUGGAUACUGACGGGCUUGAGUACAGACGAGGUUGGCGGAAUGGACGGAGUAGCGGUGAAAUGCAUAGAUACCGUCCAGAACCCCGAUUGUGAAGGCAGCUGACUAGGCUGUUACUGACGCUGAGGCACGAAAGCGUGGGGAGCGAACAGGAUUAGAUACCCUAGUAGUCC